rnacentral:lncRNA from 12 species
CAGGUAUAAACUUGAUGUCAGAAGUGGACAUGGGCUGUCGCUGAACCUAUGUCUGUUUGAUCAUCCAAGAACUAGCAUAUGUAUCAGUUCUAGCUAGCGGAUAUCUUGCUUGUAAGACUGCCCACGACACACAAAGGACAGUGUCCACUUCUAAAGCUUUUGUACCUCAUAAUUCCAUCUAGUGUCAGAGGAGAAUUCUGUGACAUAUUGGGGCAGAAGCGUGAGUUCCCAGGGAAAGCAGACUCUUGAGUUUAGUAGUGAUACUAAGGGCACUAUUGAGUGAGUGGGAGCUGCCAAAUAGAAUCAACUCCUGUAACAGAUGCUCUCAGUUGAAAGAAGUAAAUGCAAAACUGUAAGAGAAAUAACUUUCCAGCACAGAAGCCUCGAGGCCCUUGAGGAUAGAUGAUGCCAGAAAAAUGUGAGAUUAUUGUGCCUGCCAGAGUAUAUUAAUACUAUAAAUAUAGCUAAUUUCCUGAGGAACAAGAUCCUUGAAAAUGUACCAGAUGUAUGAUGCUGAAUAUCAAGUCAAACAGCAGAGACAGAAUGAAUCUCCAUCUUCAUUAAAGUUAGAGAUUGCCAUCCAGUAGUUCAAGAGCUGUAUGUUCAGUUCCUGUCACAUAAUUAGAAAUAUCUGUUUAUCUGAAGUUACGAUGGGAUGUGAUACGACAGUGCGAAUUUGAUUGGUCAUGGCUUAGACAGAGACCAUGGUGACAUCUGGAAGUUCUGACCAAAAGCCUCAGCGAUACCUGGUGAUUUGUGGAGAGGGAUGCUGUGGACACAAGCAUUGCUUCCAGGAUAUUCUAAUGACAGUGCGUGUUAGAAAAAUGCCUGGUGGCUCCACCACUACUCAUGGUAGUUCAAGAAGGAGAGAGAGACAGACACAGACACAGAGACAUGGAGAGACUGAGGUUCACAGCCUGAGUCCUGCCACUGCCCAGGUCCAUAACCUUUAGGAGGCGGAACAAGAAGAAUGAGAUGGAUAAGGUGCUGGAUUUAGAGUCAGAGAACCCAAUGCAGCUCUUGUGCAGGCUCUGCUACC